UGCAGUCGAGCGAACAGAUAAGGAGCUUGCUCCUUUGACGUUAGCGGCGGACGGGUGAGUAACACGUGGGUAACCUACCUAUAAGACUGGGAUAACUUCGGGAAACCGGAGCUAAUACCGGAUAACAUUUGGAACCGCAUGGUUCUAAAGUGAAAGAUGGUUUUGCUAUCACUUAUAGAUGGACCCGCGCCGUAUUAGCUAGUUGGUAAGGUAACGGCUUACCAAGGCGACGAUACGUAGCCGACCUGAGAGGGUGAUCGGCCACACUGGAACUGAGACACGGUCCAGACUCCUACGGGAGGCAGCAGUAGGGAAUCUUCCGCAAUGGGCGAAAGCCUGACGGAGCAACGCCGCGUGAGUGAUGAAGGGUUUCGGCUCGUAAAACUCUGUUAUUAGGGAAGAACAAAUGUGUAAGUAACUGUGCACGUCUUGACGGUACCUAAUCAGAAAGCCACGGCUAACUACGUGCCAGCAGCCGCGGUAAUACGUAGGUGGCAAGCGUUAUCCGGAAUUAUUGGGCGUAAAGCGCGCGUAGGCGGUUUCUUAAGUCUGAUGUGAAAGCCCACGGCUCAACCGUGGAGGGUCAUUGGAAACUGGGAAACUUGAGUGCAGAAGAGGAAAGUGGAAUUCCAUGUGUAGCGGUGAAAUGCGCAGAGAUAUGGAGGAACACCAGUGGCGAAGGCGACUUUCUGGUCUGUAACUGACGCUGAUGUGCGAAAGCGUGGGGAUCAAACAGGAUUAGAUACCCUGGUAGUCCACGCCGUAAACGAUGAGUGCUAAGUGUUAGGGGGUUUCCGCCCCUUAGUGCUGCAGCUAACGCAUUAAGCACUCCGCCUGGGGAGUACGACCGCAAGGUUGAAACUCAAAGGAAUUGACGGGGACCCGCACAAGCGGUGGAGCAUGUGGUUUAAUUCGAAGCAACGCGAAGAACCUUACCAAAUCUUGACAUCCUUUGAAAACUCUAGAGAUAGAGCCUUCCCCUUCGGGGGACAAAGUGACAGGUGGUGCAUGGUUGUCGUCAGCUCGUGUCGUGAGAUGUUGGGUUAAGUCCCGCAACGAGCGCAACCCUUAAGCUUAGUUGCCAUCAUUAAGUUGGGCACUCUAGGUUGACUGCCGGUGACAAACCGGAGGAAGGUGGGGAUGACGUCAAAUCAUCAUGCCCCUUAUGAUUUGGGCUACACACGUGCUACAAUGGACAAUACAAAGGGCAGCUAAACCGCGAGGUCAUGCAAAUCCCAUAAAGUUGUUCUCAGUUCGGAUUGUAGUCUGCAACUCGACUACAUGAAGCUGGAAUCGCUAGUAAUCGUAGAUCAGCAUGCUACGGUGAAUACGUUCCCGGGUCUUGUACACACCGCCCGUCACACCACGAGAGUUUGUAACACCCGAAGCCGGUGGAGUAACCAUUUAUGGAGCUAGCCGUCGAA
rnacentral:rRNA from 2 species